CCUACGGGUGGCAGCAGUGAGGAAUAUUGGUCAAUGGGCGCAAGCCUGAACCAGCCAAGUAGCGUGAAGGAUGACUGCCCUACGGGUUGUAAACUUCUUUUAUAAAGGAAUAAAGUGAUGCACGUGUGCCUUUUUGUAUGUACUUUAUGAAUAAGGAUCGGCUAACUCCGUUCCCACAGCCGCGGUAAUACGGAGGAUCCGAGCGUUUACCGGAUUUGUUGGGUUUAAAGGGAGCGUAGAGUGGGUGUUAAGUCAGUUGUGAAAGUUUGCGGCUCAACCGUAAAAUUGCAAUUGAUACUGGCAGUCUUGAGUACAGUUGAGGUAGGCGGAAUUCGUGGUGUAGCGGUGAAAUGCUUAGAUAUCACGAAGAACUCCGAUUGCGAAGGCAGCUUACUAAACUGCAACUGACAUUGAUGCACGAAAGUGUGGGUAUCAAACAGGAUUAGAUACCCGAGUAGUC
rnacentral:rRNA from 1 species